UACGUAGGGGGCAAGCGUUGUCCGGAUUUAUUGGGCGUAAAGAGCGUGUAGGCGGUUAGGUAGGUCCGUUGUGAAAACUCGAGGCUCAACCUCGAGACGCCGAUGGAAACCAUCUGACUAGAGUCCGGAAGAGGAGAGUGGAAUCCCUGGUGUAGCGGUGAAAUGCGCAGAUAUCAGGAGGAACACCGAUUGCGAAGGCAGCUCGCUGGAACGUUACUGACGCUGAGACGCGAAAGCGUGGGGAGCAAACAGG
rnacentral:rRNA from 1 species